rnacentral:rRNA from 1 species
AUUGAACGCUGGCGGCGUGCCUAACACAUGCAAGUCGAGCGGUAACAGGUGUAGCAAUACAUGCUGACGAGCGGCGGACGGGUGAGUAACGCUUGGGAAUCUGCCUAUUAGUGGGGGACAACCCGGGGAAACUCGGGCUAAUACCGCAUACGCUCUACGGAGGAAAGCCGGGGACCGCAAGGCCUGGCGCUAAUAGAUGAGCCCAAGUCGGAUUAGCUAGUUGGUAGGGUAANGGCCUACCAAGGCGACGAUCCGUAACUGGUCUGAGAGGACGACCAGUCACACCGGAACUGAGACACGGUCCGGACUCCUACGGGAGGCAGCAGUGGGGAAUAUUGGACAAUGGGCGAAAGCCUGAUCCAGCGACGCCG